GACGAACGCUGGCGGCGUGCUUAACACAUGCAAGUCGAACGAAGAGCGACGGAAGCUUGCUUCUAUCAAUCUUAGUGGCGAACGGGUGAGUAACGCGUAAUCAACCUGCCCUUCAGAGGGGGACAACAGUUGGAAACGACUGCUAAUACCGCAUACGAUCUAACCUCGGCAUCGAGGAUAGAUGAAAGGUGGCCUCUACAUGUAAGCUAUCACUGAAGGAGGGGAAUGCGUCUGAUUAGCUAGUUGGAGGGGUAACGGCCCACCAAGGCGAUGAUCAGUAGCCGGUCUGAGAGGAUGAACGGCCACAUUGGGACUGAGACACGGCCCAGACUCCUACGGGAGGCAGCAGUGGGGAAUCUUCCGCAAUGGACGAAAGUCUGACGGAGCAACGCCGCGUGAGUGAUGACGGCCUUCGGGUUGUAAAGCUCUGUUAAUCGGGACGAAAGGCCUUCUUGCGAAUAGUGAGAAGGAUUGACGGUACCGGAAUAGAAAGCCACGGCUAACUACGUG
rnacentral:rRNA from 1 species